UCGGACUCCUAAGGUGACUGCCGGCCAAAAGUCGGAGGAAGGUGGGGAUGACGUCAAAUCAUCAUGCCCCUUAUGACCUGGGCUACACACGUGCUACAAUGGGCGGUACAAAGGGUCGCGAACCCGCGAGGGGGAGCCAAUCCCAAAAAGCCGCUCUCAGUUCGGAUUGUAGGCUGCAACUCGCCUGCAUGAAGCCGGAAUCGCUAGUAAUCGCGGAUCAGCAUGCCGCGGUGAAUACGUUCCCGGGCCUU
rnacentral:rRNA from 1 species